rnacentral:rRNA from 1 species
UUAAGCGACUAAGCGUACACGGUGGAUGCCCUGGCAGUCAGAGGCGAUGAAGGACGUGCUAAUCUGCGAUAAGCGUCGGUAAGGUGAUAUGAACCGUUAUAACCGGCGAUUUCCGAAUGGGGAAACCCAGUGUGUUUCGACACACUAUCAUUAACUGAAUCCAUAGGUUAAUGAGGCGAACCGGGGGAACUGAAACAUCUAAGUACCCCGAGGAAAAGAAAUCAACCGAGAUUCCCCCAGUAGCGGCGAGCGAACGGGGAGCAGCCCAGAGCCUGAAUCAGUGUGUGUGUUAGUGGAAGCGUCUGGAAAGGCGCGCGAUACAGGGUGACAGCCCCGUACACAAAAAUGCACAUGCUGUGAGCUCGAUGAGUAGGGCGGGACACGUGGUAUCCUGUCUGAAUAUGGGGGGACCAUCCUCCAAGGCUAAAUACUCCUGACUGACCGAUAGUGAACCAGUACCGUGAGGGAAAGGCGAAAAGAACCCCGGCGAGGGGAGUGAAAAAGAACCUGAAACCGUGUACGUACAAGCAGUGGGAGCACGCUUAGGCGUGUGACUGCGUACCUUUUGUAUAAUGGGUCAGCGACUUAUAUUCUGUAGCAAGGUUAACCGAAUAGGGGAGCCGAAGGGAAACCGAGUCUUAACUGGGCGUUAAGUUGCAGGGUAUAGACCCGAAACCCGGUGAUCUAGCCAUGGGCAGGUUGAAGGUUGGGUAACACUAACUGGAGGACCGAACCGACUAAUGUUGAAAAAUUAGCGGAUGACUUGUGGCUGGGGGGGAAAGGCCAAUCAAACCGGGAGAUAGCUGGUUCUCCCCGAAAGCUAUUUAGGUAGCGCCUCGUGAAUUCAUCUCCGGGGGUAGAGCACUGUUUCGGCAAGGGGGUCAUCCCGACUUACCAACCCGAUGCAAACUGCGAAUACCGGAGAAUGUUAUCACGGGAGACACACGGCGGGUGCUAACGUCCGUCGUGAAGAGGGAAACAACCCAGACCGCCAGCUAAGGUCCCAAAGUCAUGGUUAAGUGGGAAACGAUGUGGGAAGGCCCAGACAGCCAGGAUGUUGGCUUAGAAGCAGCCAUCAUUUAAAGAAAGCGUAAUAGCUCACUGGUCGAGUCGGCCUGCGCGGAAGAUGUAACGGGGCUAAACCAUGCACCGAAGCUGCGGCAGCGACGCUGAUGCGUUGUUGGGUAGGGGAGCGUUCUGUAAGCCUGCGAAGGUGUGCUGUGAGGCAUGCUGGAGGUAUCAGAAGUGCGAAUGCUGACAUAAGUAACGAUAAAGCGGGUGAAAAGCCCGCUCGCCGGAAGACCAAGGGUUCCUGUCCAACGUUAAUCGGGGCAGGGUGAGUCGACCCCUAAGGCGAGGCCGAAAGGCGUAGUCGAUGGGAAACAGGUUAAUAUUCCUGUACUUGGUGUUACUGCGAAGGGGGGACGGAGAAGGCUAUGUUGGCCGGGCGACGGUUGUCCCGGUUUAAGCGUGUAGGCUGGUUUUCCAGGCAAAUCCGGAAAAUCAAGGCUGAGGCGUGAUGACGAGGCACUACGGUGCUGAAGCAACAAAUGCCCUGCUUCCAGGAAAAGCCUCUAAGCAUCAGGUAACAUCAAAUCGUACCCCAAACCGACACAGGUGGUCAGGUAGAGAAUACCAAGGCGCUUGAGAGAACUCGGGUGAAGGAACUAGGCAAAAUGGUGCCGUAACUUCGGGAGAAGGCACGCUGAUAUGUAGGUGAAGUCCCUUGCGGAUGGAGCUGAAAUCAGUCGAAGAUACCAGCUGGCUGCAACUGUUUAUUAAAAACACAGCACUGUGCAAACACGAAAGUGGACGUAUACGGUGUGACGCCUGCCCGGUGCCGGAAGGUUAAUUGAUGGGGUCAGCGCAAGCGAAGCUCUUGAUCGAAGCCCCGGUAAACGGCGGCCGUAACUAUAACGGUCCUAAGGUAGCGAAAUUCCUUGUCGGGUAAGUUCCGACCUGCACGAAUGGCGUAAUGAUGGCCAGGCUGUCUCCACCCGAGACUCAGUGAAAUUGAACUCGCUGUGAAGAUGCAGUGUACCCGCGGCAAGACGGAAAGACCCCGUGAACCUUUACUAUAGCUUGACACUGAACAUUGAGCCUUGAUGUGUAGGAUAGGUGGGAGGCUUUGAAGUGUGGACGCCAGUCUGCAUGGAGCCGACCUUGAAAUACCACCCUUUAAUGUUUGAUGUUCUAACGUUGACCCGUAAUCCGGGUUGCGGACAGUGUCUGGUGGGUAGUUUGACUGGGGCGGUCUCCUCCUAAAGAGUAACGGAGGAGCACGAAGGUUGGCUAAUCCUGGUCGGACAUCAGGAGGUUAGUGCAAUGGCAUAAGCCAGCUUGACUGCGAGCGUGACGGCGCGAGCAGGUGCGAAAGCAGGUCAUAGUGAUCCGGUGGUUCUGAAUGGAAGGGCCAUCGCUCAACGGAUAAAAGGUACUCCGGGGAUAACAGGCUGAUACCGCCCAAGAGUUCAUAUCGACGGCGGUGUUUGGCACCUCGAUGUCGGCUCAUCACAUCCUGGGGCUGAAGUAGGUCCCAAGGGUAUGGCUGUUCGCCAUUUAAAGUGGUACGCGAGCUGGGUUUAGAACGUCGUGAGACAGUUCGGUCCCUAUCUGCCGUGGGCGCUGGAGAACUGAGGGGGGCUGCUCCUAGUACGAGAGGACCGGAGUGGACGCAUCACUGGUGUUCGGGUUGUCAUGCCAAUGGCACUGCCCGGUAGCUAAAUGCGGAAGAGAUAAGUGCUGAAAGCAUCUAAGCACGAAACUUGCCCCGAGAUGAGUUCUCCCUGACUCCUUGAGAGUCCUGAAGGAACGUUGAAGACGACGACGUUGAUAGGCCGGGUGUGUAAGCGCAGCGAUGCGUUGAGCUAACCGGUACUAAUGAACCGUGAGGCUUAACCUU